CAGUCGAGCGGUACAGGGGUGCUUGCACCCCGCUGACGAGCGGCGGACGGGUGAGUAAUGCUUAGGAAUCUGCCCAGUAGUGGGGGAUAGCCCGGGGAAACCCGGAUUAAUACCGCAUACGUCCUACGGGAGAAAGCAGGGGAUCUUCGGACCUUGCGCUAUUGGAUGAGCCUAAGUCGGAUUAGCUAGUUGGUGGGGUAAAGGCCUACCAAGGCGACGAUCCGUAGCUGGUCUGAGAGGAUGAUCAGCCACAUCGGGACUGAGACACGGCCCGAACUCCUACGGGAGGCAGCAGUGGGGAAUAUUGGACAAUGGGGGCAACCCUGAUCCAGCCAUGCCGCGUGUGUGAAGAAGGCUUUCGGGUUGUAAAGCACUUUCAGCGAGGAGGAAGGCCUUAAAGUUAAUACCUUUGAGGAUUGACGUUACUCGCAGAAGAAGCACCGGCUAACUCCGUGCCAGCAGCCGCGGUAAUACGGAGGGUGCAAGCGUUAAUCGGAAUUACUGGGCGUAAAGCGCGCGUAGGUGGUUAGGUAAGCGAGAUGUGAAAGCCCCGGGCUUAACCUGGGAACGGCAUUUCGAACUGUCUGACUAGAGUGUGGUAGAGGGUAGUGGAAUUUCCUGUGUAGCGGUGAGAUGCGUAGAUAUAGGAAGGAACACCAGUGGCGAAGGCGGCUACCUGGACCAACACUGACACUGAGGUGCGAAAGCGUG
rnacentral:rRNA from 1 species